rnacentral:rRNA from 1 species
AUUGAACGCUGGCGGCAGGCCUAACACAUGCAAGUCGAACGAGUGGCGGACGGGUGAGUAAUGUAUGGGAAACUGCCUGAUGGAGGGGGAUAACUACUGGAAACGGUAGCUAAUACCGCAUACCAUCGGAUGUGCCCAGAUGGGAUUAGCUAGUAGGUGAGGUAAAGGCUCACCAAGGCGACGAUCCCUAGCUGGUCUGAGAGGAUGACCAUCCACACUGGGACGGAGACACGGUCCGGACUCCUACGGGAGGCAGCAGUGGGGAAUAUUGCCCAAUGGGGGCAAGCCUGACGCAGCCAUGCCGCGUGUAUGAAGAAGGCCUUCGGGUUGUAAAGCACUUUCAGCCGGGAGGCGUUACCCGCAGAAGAAGCACCGGCUAACUCCGUGCCAGCAGCCGCGGUAAUUC